AGAGUUUGAUCCUGGCUCAGGAUGAACGUUGGCGGCAUUAACACAUACAAGUCGAACGCAGGCUUCGGCCUGAGUGGCGAACGGGUGCGUAACACGUAGGUGACCUGGCCUGGAGUGGGGGAUAACCCUCGGAAACGGGGCUAAUACCGCAUAGUCUGGAGAGUUUAGAAAUCUCUGAGUAAAGCUUAUGUGCUCUAGGGGGGGCUGCGGCCUAUCAGGUAGUUGGUGGGGUAAAAGCCUACCAAGCCGAUGACGGGUAGCUGACCUGAGAGGGUGGUCAGCCACAGGGGAACUGAGACACGGUCCCCACUCCUACGGGAGGCAGCAGUGAGGAAUAUUGGGCAAUGGGGGCAACCCUGACCCAGCAAUGCCGCGUGCGGGAGGACNNCUUCGGGGUGUAAACCGCUUUUGUGAGGGAGGAGCAAGGACCGUACCUCACGAAGAAGUCACGGCUAACUACGUGCCAGCAGCCGCGGUAAUACGUAGGUGGCGAACGUUAUCCGGAGUUACUGGGCGUAAAGGGUCCGCAGGCGGGGGCGCAAGUCCGGCGUGAAAUCUUCUGGCUUAACUAGAAGAGGUCGUUGGAANNUGCGUCUCUAGCAUCCCGCAGAGGUCGGUGGAAUUCCCGGUGUAGUGGUGGAAUGCGUAGAGAUCGGGAGGAACCUCGAAAGCGAAGGCAGCCGGCUGGGCGCGGAUGGACGCUGAGGGACGAAAGCGUGGGGAGCGAACAGGAUUAGAUACCCUAGUAGUCC
rnacentral:rRNA from 1 species